CCUACGGGUGGCAGCAGUGAGGAAUAUUGGUCAAUGGGCGGGAGCCUGAACCAGCCAAGCCGCGUGAGGGAAGAAGGUACAGCGUAUCGUAAACCUCUUUUGUCAGGGAACAAAACCGGGGACUAGUCCCCGGAUGUGUGUACCUGAAGAAUAAGCAUCGGCUAACUCCGUGCCAGCAGCCGCGGUAAUACGGAGGAUCCGAGCGUUAUCCGGAUUUAUUGGGUUUAAAGGGGGCGCAGGGGGCAGGUUAAGUCAGGUGUAAAAGGCCGGGGGCCAACCGCAGAAAUGCCGUUGAAACUGGCGGGCUGGAGUAGAGGAGAGGUACGCGGAAUGCGCGGUGUAGCGGUGAAAUGCUUAGAUAUCGCGAAGAACACCGAUUGCGAAGGCAGCGUACCGGAU
rnacentral:rRNA from 1 species